CAGCAGCACGGUAACACGGAGGGGGCUAGCGUUGUUCGGAAUUACUGGGCGUAAAGCGCACGUAGGCGGCUUGGUAAGUUAGAGGUGAAAGCCUGGAGCUCAACUCCAGAAUUGCCUUUAAGACUGCCGAGCUAGCAGGUGAGAGAGGUAAGUGGAAUUCCGAGUGUAGAGGUGAAAUUCGUAGAUAUUCGGAGGAACACCAGUGGCGAAGGCGGCUUACUGGCUCAUACUGGACGCUGAGGUGCGAAAGCGUGGGGAGCAAACAGGAUUAGAUACCCGUGUAGUCCCUGUCUCUUAUACA
rnacentral:rRNA from 1 species